rnacentral:rRNA from 1 species
AUUGAACGCUGGCGGCAGGCCUAACACAUGCAAGUCGAGCGGUAACAGAACUAGCUUGCUAGUUGCUGACGAGCGGCGGACGGGUGCGUAACACGUAGGAAUCUGCCCGGUAGUGGGGGAUAGCCCGGAGAAAUCCGGAUUAAUACCGCAUACGUCCUACUCUUUUUCGGAAGAGGGGGGAAAGCAGGGGAUCUUCGGACCUUGUGCUAUCGGAUGAGCCUGCGUCGGAUUAGCUGGUUGGUGGGGUAAAGGCCUACCAAGGCGACGAUCCGUA